rnacentral:rRNA from 1 species
CGACUUGGAGGUUGUGCCCUUGAGGCGUGGCUUCCGGAGCUAACGCGUUAAGUCGACCGCCUGGGGAGUACGGCCGCAAGGUUAAAACUCAAAUGAAUUGACGGGGGCCCGCACAAGCGGUGGAGCAUGUGGUUUAAUUCGAUGCAACGCGAAGAACCUUACCUACUCUUGACAUCCAGAGAACUUUCCAGAGAUGGAUUGGUGCCUUCGGGAACUCUGAGACAGGUGCUGCAUGGCUGUCGUCAGCUCGUGUUGUGAAAUGUUGGGUUAAGUCCCGCAACGAGCGCAACCCUUAUCCUUUGUUGCCAGCGGUCCGGCCGGGAACUCAAAGGAGACUGCCGGUGGUAAACUGGAGGAAGGUGGGGAUGACGUCAAGUCAUCAUGGCCCUUACGAGUAGGGCUACACACGUGCUACAAUGGCGCAUACAAAGAGAAGCGACCUCGCGAGAGCAAGCGGACCUCAUAAAGUGCGUCGUAGUCCGGAUUGGAGUCUGCAACUCGACUCCAUGAAGUCGGAAUCGCUAGUAAUCGUAGAUCAGAAUGCUACGGUGAAUACGUUCCCGGGCCUUGUACACACCGCCCGUCACACCAUGGGAGUGGGUUGCAAAAGAAGUAGGUAGCUUAACCUUCGUGAGGGCGCUUACCACUUUGUGAUUCGUGACUGGGGUGAAGUCGUAACAAGGUAAC